rnacentral:rRNA from 1 species
UACGUAGGGGGCAAGCGUUGUCCGGAAUUACUGGGCGUAAAGCGUGCGCAGGCGGUUCGCCAAGUCAGGUGUGAAAUCCCCGGGCUUAACCUGGGAAUUGCGCUUGAAACUAGCGGGCUUGAGUGUGGCAGAGGGGGGUGGAAUUCCACGUGUAGCAGUGAAAUGCGUAGAGAUGUGGAGGAACACCGAUGGCGAAGGCAGCCCCCUGGGUCAACACUGACGCUCAUGCACGAAAGCGUGGGGAGCAAACAGG